rnacentral:misc_RNA from 1 species
AACAAGUCCAAGUGGUUACUGAAUAUGGCAAGAAAGUAUUGUCAUCACCGGAGAAGCUGUAUCCAAGGGAUGAAGAGGCAGACCAUGGAGGGGUUGAUGAUAUGACCAAAUUGACUUAUUUGAAUGAGCCUGGAGUUUUAGACAACCUUCAGAGAAGAUAUGGUCUUAAUGAAAUUUAUACAUAUACAGGAAGUAUCUUAAUAGCUGUCAAUCCAUUCACUAAACUUCCACAUCUGU